GGUCCAAGCAGUUCUGUAAAGAAAAAAGGAAACACAACCACACACAGAGCACACGGGCUCGCCUCCUCUCCCUCUCGCCUAUGAAGUCAUCGCCGCCGCCGCCGCCCAUGCCGGCUGCUUCCGGCGCCUCCGGCGCAGCGCGGCACGCCCCAAGCUGCCGACGGUCCGCGCCUCCCUCCCCUCCACCCAGACUCUCUGCUCCCGGCCUCUACAGCCCGCUCGCAACCACACACCCAUGGCUAGGGUUUCGGGCAUGGCUUCGCCGGCGUGUCUCCGGUGGUCCCAGUUGGGGCACGCCAUGGGAGUUCCCCAUCCAUCACGGUCGCCGUUGUCAAGGGAUUCUUCAAGGAGAUGUCAAGGACGCCAUGGACAUGCAGCUCCUCAAGAUCAAUUAAGGAAUCAAUCUCAUGAUGGUUGAUGCUUGAUGCAGCGGAGGAUUGGGCCUC